rnacentral:rRNA from 1 species
UACGGAGGGUGCAAGCGUUAUCCGGAUUCACUGGGCUUAAAGGGUGCGUAGGAGGGCAGGUAAGUCAGUGGUGAAAUCUCCGAGCUUAACUUGGAAACUGCCGUUGAUACUAUCUGCCUUGAAUAUUGUGGAGGUGAGCGGAAUAUGUCAUGUAGCGGUGAAAUGCUUAGAUAUGACAUAGAACACCAAUUGCGAAGGCAGCUCGCUACACAUAUAUUGACUCUGAGGCACGAAAGCGUGGGGAGCAAACAGG